AGAAAAGGGGGGCUCCGACGAUGCGACCCGAGGCUCGAGUGUCAGAGGUACGUGGAGGGCCGGUGGUGGCGCGAAUGGUGGCCUUGUUGGUGAGGAGCGGCGGCUGAAAGUUUGGUGGCUAGGUUUUUUGUUUGCUGAAAAUGUUUAAGAUAGUGGGCUAGGAUUUGGGCUAGGGCUUUAAUUGUUUGGGUCAUACAUAUGUUGUAAAUGGACUUAAAAUUUGGACUUUUUAUUUUGGGUUUUAUUUUUGGUUUAUUGGUCUGGGCCAAAAUUAGCUGUUACAAUUAGUAUUUAAAUUAUACAAGUCAAUAGUAAUUUUUAUAUUAAAUUUUGAUACGAUGAUUUUAAAUAAUUGAAUUAAAAGUUAGCAUAAGUGAUUUGGUUCAAAA